rnacentral:rRNA from 1 species
CAUUACUGAGUUAUCUAAACUCCCAACCCUUUGUGAACCUUACCGUCGUUGCCUCGGCGGGCUGUGCUUACCCUGUAGCUACCCUGUAGCUACCCGGUAGGUGCGCUCCAAGCCCGCCGGUGGACCACUAAACUCUGUUUUAAUAUCGAAUCUCUGAAUGCUUCAACUUAAUAAGUUAAAACUUUCAACAACGGAUCUCUUGGUUCUGGCAUCGAUGAAGAACGCAGCGAAAUGCGAUAAGUAAUGUGAAUUGCAGAAUUCAGUGAAUCAUCGAAUCUUUGAACGCACAUUGCGCCCAUUAGUAUUCUAGUGGGCAUGCCUAUUCGAGCGUCAUUUCAACCCUUAAGCCCUAGCUGCUUAGCGUUGGGAGUCUGCGCUGUAGCUACAGCGCAGUUCCUUAAAGUGAUUGGCGGAGUUGGGGUAUACUCUAAGCGUAGUAAUCAUCUUCUCGCUUCUGCAGUUGCCCCGACGUCUUGCCGUUAAACCCCUAUAUCUUUCUAGUGGUUGACCUCGGAUUAGGUAGGAAUACCCGCUGAACUUAAGCAUAUCAAUAAGCGGAGGAAAAGAAACCAACAGGGAUUGCCCUAGUAACGGCGAGUGAAGCGGCAACAGCUCAAAUUUGAAAUCUGGCCCUAGCGGUCCGAGUUGUAAUUUGUAGAGGAUGCUUUUGGUUAGGUGCCUUCCGAGUUCCCUGGAACGGGACGCCAGAGAGGGUGAGAGCCCCGUACGGUUGGNACACCGAGCCUCUAUAUAGCUCCUUCGACGAGUCGAGUAGUU